rnacentral:lncRNA from 1 species
GUGAUUCAUUCGUGUAGACAUCGUAAUGUCGAAACUGCCCGAUGGAAACGAUGGAAACACGAAUGCAAUACGAUGUGCAAAGAUGCAUGCCCGGUGACAUUACGAUGGUGAAGAUGGUGAUACGAACUCAAUACGAACCCUCAACAUCGGACGCACCUUCGGGGAUUUUUUAACAUGUUAAAAAAUUUAGAACCCUUCCCGAAGUUGUCCCCGAAGCCUAGAAAAAGUGGCC